rnacentral:rRNA from 1 species
CGACAGGCUUAACACAUGCAAGUCGAGGGGCAGCACGGUGUAUCAAUACAUUGGUGGCGACCGGCGCACGGGUGAGUAACGCGUAUGCAACCUACCUAUCAGAGGGGAAUAACCCGGCGAAAGUCGGACUAAUACCGCAUAAAACAGGGGUUCCACAUGGAAAUAUUUGUUAAAGAUUUAUCGCUGAUAGAUGGGCAUGCGUUCCAUUAGAUAGUUGGUGAGGUAACGGCUCACCAAGUCCACGAUGGAUAGGGGUUCUGAGAGGAAGGUCCCCCACACUGGUACUGAGACACGGACCAGACUCCUACGGGAGGCAGCAGUGAGGAAUAUUGGUCAAUGGGCGAGAGCCUGAACCAGCCAAGUCGCGUGAAGGAUGAAGGAUCUAUGGUUUGUAAACUUCUUUUAUAUGGGAAUAAAGUGAGGAACGUGUUCCUUUUUGUAUGUACCAUAUGAAUAAGCAUCGGCUAACUCCGUGCCAGCAGCCGCGGUAAUACGGAGGAUGCGAGCGUUAUCCGGAUUUAUUGGGUUUAAAGGGUGCGUAGGUGGUUUUUUAAGUCAGCGGUGAAAGUUUGUGGCUCAACCAUAAAAUUGCCGUUGAAACUGGGGAACUUGAGUAUAUUUGAGGUAGGCGGAAUGCGUGGUGUAGCGGUGAAAUGCAUAGAUAUCACGCAGAACUCCGAUUGCGAAGGCAGCUUACUAAACUAUAACUGACACUGAAGCACGAAAGCGUGGGGAUCAAACAGGAUUAGAUACCCUGGUAGUCCACGCAGUAAACGAUGAUUACUAGCUGUUUGCGAUACACAGUAAGCGACACAGCGAAAGCGUUAAGUAAUCCACCUGGGGAGUACGCCGGCAACGGUGAAACUCAAAGGAAUUGACGGGGGCCCGCACAAGCGGAGGAACAUGUGGUUUAAUUCGAUGAUACGCGAGGAACCUUACCCGGGUUUGAACGCAUUCGGACCGACUGUGAAAGCAGUCUUUCAGCAAUGACCGUUUGCGAGGUGCUGCAUGGUUGUCGUCAGCUCGUGCCGUGAGGUGUCGGCUUAAGUGCCAUAACGAGCGCAACCCUUAUCACUAGUUACUAACAGGUCAUGCUGAGGACUCUAGUGAGACUGCCAGCGUAAGCUGUGAGGAAGGUGGGGAUGACGUCAAAUCAGCACGGCCCUUACAUCCGGGGCGACACACGUGUUACAAUGGUGGGGACAAAGGGCAGCUACACAGCGAUGUGAUGCUAAUCUCCAAACCCCAUCUCAGUUCGGAUCGAAGUCUGCAACCCGACUUCGUGAAGCUGGAUUCGCUAGUAAUCGCGCAUCAGCCAUGGCGCGGUGAAUACGUUCCCGGGCCUUGUACACACCGCCCGUCAAGCCAUGGGAGUUGGGGGUACCUAAAGUCCGUAACCGUAAGGAUCGGCCUAGGGUAAAACCGAUGACUG